GGGGAUGCGGGUGGUCUGGCUGUGACACCUGUCCGCGCUCUGACUGCACGGUUGACUCGGCUGGUCUGGCUGCCAGGCAAGGUCCCCUUCCUGCCUCACCGCUGCAUUUAGUCCCUCCCAAAGCUGGACGCUGGUGGGAGAGGACGCCCACCGGGAUAGGGGAGGCCCGUCCUCGGCUAAGGGUGCAGGAGUAGCUCCCCUGCUAGAUCCUCCAAACAGCUGUUGAGGGCACCUCCCAAAGCAUGUUCAAAACAGUAAUUCUCAGAAGAAGAGUUUAUUGGUCAAAUUC
rnacentral:snRNA from 1 species